CAUGCAAAAUCAAGACAUGAUCCAAAGUCUGAUACUAAUAUCCGCCUUUCCAUUGACUUUAGAGGGCUUUGGAUCAGAUCCUUAGAGAAAUUAGAAUAAGUUCUCUGUUCGCUAAUUAUUAAUGCUUAGACAAAAUUAUGAUUGUUUAUUUCCAGGUAUAUUUUGGAAGUGGAGUGCAUUGUAGCACACACAUCAGCACAUUGAAAUGUAACUAUCAUUCUAGCCUACUUUAAGAUUUUUGGAAAACUUGCAAGAAAAUUAGACUUUGAAUACCAUAUUUGAGGAAACUCUCAUUGCUUCCUCUUUUUCAACAUGAUGUAUUUUACCAGUGUAAACAAGGCCUCAGGUUAUGCUCAUUAGGCUGUGUAAAUGGAAUGUCUUCUACUAUUAAGAGUCAUACUAUGUAGCUUGGCAGAUUAAGACUGCAAAGCUGGAUCACAAUAUAUUAAUUGUGUGGAUUUUUGUUUUCUUUAGAGGCUGUUUUUGCAACACAUUUGUAAACAAACUGCCUGAAUAUCUUUGUUAAAAUCUGCAGUGGGGAUACUCCCUGUGGGGGGGAGAAACUGUUUCAUUCUCUCUCCUUUUUUUUUAAUGUCCCCCAUGUUGUCAGCGGACACUUUUUUUUUUUUCUUGUGCUGUUUGAUGCAUCAUUGGCUAAUCAGAAUGCUUAACUUUCAAGUUGAGUGUUAAUCAACUUAAAAUUAAAGCCAUGAACUCUACCCACUGAAUAUCCUCUGAUGCUACGACAAUGUAGGAGACGCUUGAGCUCCUGCCACCAGAGGUCCCCAGCCUUCUUCAUAUGUGCACGUUUGAAGGAUGUGGAAAGCGAUUUUCACUGGACUUCAAUUUACGCACACAUGUGCGAAUUCACACUGGCGACAGGCCCUAUGUGUGCCCGUUUGACGGCUGUAAUAAGAAGUUCGCUCAAUCAACUAACCUGAAAUCUCACAUCUUAACACACGCUAAGGCCAAAAACAACCAGUGAAAGUAAGCUAGAAGAAAGCUCUUGAACUCUCAAAGCAUCUUACAGGAGUAUGGGAAUAAAUAUGCCUCCCCUUUGUAUAUUGUUUCUAGGAAAGAAUUUUAAAAAAGAACCCUACCCACCUAAAGGACAUGUUUUGAUAAAGUAGUAAAU
rnacentral:lncRNA from 1 species